rnacentral:rRNA from 1 species
GACGAACGCUGGCGGCGUGCUUAACACAUGCAAGUCGAACGAGUGGCGAACGGGUGAGUAAAACGUGGGUGAUAUGCCUUGCACUUCGGGAUAAGAUUGGGAGACUGGGUCUCAUACCGGAUAGUUCAAGAUUAGCUAGCGGCCUAUGAGCUUGUUGGUGGGGUAGUGGCUAACAAGGCGCGACGGGUAGCCGGCCUGCGAGGGUGUACGGCCACAUUGGGACUGAGAUGCCGGCAGUAGUACGACGGGAGGCAGCAGUGGGGAAUAGUGGAAAAUGGGCGGAAGCAUGAUGGAGCGACGCAGCGUGGGAGAUGAAGGCCUGUGGGGUGUAAACGCCUUGCUACAGGGACGCGGUACCGGUAUAAGAAGCACCGGCUAACUACGUGCCAGCAGCCGCGGUAAUAC